rnacentral:rRNA from 1 species
GUUGAACGCUGGCGGCAUGCCUUACACAUGCAAGUCGAACGGCAGCAGGGGUGCUUGCACCUGGUGGCGAGUGGCGAACGGGUGAGUAAUACAUCGGAACGUACCUUAUCGUGGGGGAUAACGCAGCGAAAGCUGUGCUAAUACCGCAUACGCCCUGAGGGGGAAAGCGGGGGAUCGAAAGACCUCGCGCGAUUAGAGCGGCCGAUGCCUGAUUAGCUUGUUGGUGGGGUAAAAGCCCACCAAGGCGACGAUCAGUAGCUGGUCUGAGAGGACGAUCAGCCACACUGGGACUGGGACACGGCCCAGACUCCUACGGGAGGCAGCAGUGGGGAAUUUUGGACAAUGGGGGCAACCCUGAUCCAGCAAUGCCGCGUGAGUGAAGAAGGCCUUCGGGUUGUGAAGCUCUUUUGUCAGGGAAGAAACACCGGCUCUAACACAGUCCGGGAAUGACGGUACCUGAAGAAUAAGCACCGGCUAACUACGUGCCAGCAGCCGCAGUAA